rnacentral:piRNA from 1 species
UAGUGUGCUUGUAAAGUUGGUUGAUGUUC